CAAAAUAUACAAAUGAAUUUUUUUAUUUUAUAGUUAAAAUUAUUAAUUAUAAAUUUGAGGUUAAUUUUAAAGGUGAAAUUUAUUUUAUUAAUUAAAAUUUAUAAAUUUUUUUUUUGAAGCUAUUAAAUUUUAUUUAUAAACUAGGAUUAGAUACCCUAUUAUUUAAAAAUUAAAAAUAAAGAAAAAUAAAGUAGUAAGAGUUAUAGGCUUGAAACUUAAAAAAUUUGGCGGUAUUUUAGUCUGUUUAGAGGAACCUGUUCCGUUAUUGAUAAUCCACGAUAAAUUUUACAUAAUUUUAUUUAAUUUGUAUAUCGUCGUUAUAAGAAUAUUUUAUAAGAAUUAAAAUUUUCUAAAAUUUUAAAUUAAAUUUAUUUCAGAUCAAGGUGCAGUGUAUAAUUAUGAGGUAAUGGGUUACAAUAAAAUUAUUUAUUUUGGCUAGUAAUUUGAAUUAGUUAUUUAAAAUUGGAUUUAACAGUAAUUUAAAUUAUAAAAUUUUUUUGAUUUUAGCUCUAAAAUAUGUACAUAUCGCCCGUCACUCUCUUUAUUAAUUAAAAAGAGAUAAGUCGUAACAAAGUAAGUGUACUGGAAAGUGUACUUAGAAUGAUUA
rnacentral:rRNA from 1 species